rnacentral:rRNA from 1 species
AGUCUUAAGAUAUUUAUUUAAGAUUAUACCUGCCCUGUGUAGAAUGAGUUAUAAAUGGCCGCGGUACUUUGACCGUGCUAAGGUAGCGCAAUCAAUUGGUUUUUAAUUGGAGCCAGGAAUGAAUGGAGUUACGGAGUUUUUCUGUCUCCUAGCUAAUUUAUCGAAAUUACUAUGUAGGUGAAAAAGCCUAUAGUUAGAAAAAGGACGAGAAGACCCUUAGAGUUUUUCUUUGAAGCAGUUUUGUUGGGGCAACAAAGGAACAAAUUUCCACAUAUCGAAUAUUUUAGAUGUGAAUAAACUACCUUAGGGAUAACAGCAUAAUUUUAUAGAAAAGUUUGUGACCUCGAUGUUGGACUGGGAAACUAUAAGGUUAGCCGCCUUUUAGGUAAGUUCUGUUCGAACUGUGGAUUCCC